rnacentral:rRNA from 1 species
AGAGUUUGAGUCCUGGCGUCAGGACGAACGCUGGCGGUAUGCUUAAUACAUGCAAGUCGACGGAGCUUAGCGGAAGCUUGCUUCUGCGAAAGCUUAGUGGCGGACGGGUGAGUAACGCGUGAGUAACCUGCCUUAAAGAGGGGGAUAACACAGAGAAAUUUGUGCUAAUACCGCAUAAUGUAGCGAAGCCGCAUGACUUUGCUACCAAAGGUCAGCCGCUUUAAGAUGGACUCGCGUCCGAUUAGGUAGUUGGUGAGGUAACGGCCCACCAAGCCGACGAUCGGUAGCCGGACUGAGAGGUCGAACGGCCACAUUGGGACUGAGACACGGCCCAGACUCCUACGGGAGGCAGCAGUAGGGAAUAUUGCGCAAUGGGGGCAACCCUGACGCAGCAAUACCGCGUGAAGGAUGACGGUUUUCGGAUUGUAAACUUCAGCAAGCAGGGAAGAAAAUGACGGUACCUGAACAAAAGCCACGGCUAACUACGUGCC